rnacentral:rRNA from 1 species
CCUACGGGCGGCAGCAGUGGGGAAUAUUGCACAAUGGGGGAAACCCUGCUGGAGCACCGCCGCGUGGGUGAAGAAGGUCUUCGGAUCGUAAAACCCUGUUGUUAGAGAAGAAAGUGCGUGAGAGUAACUGUUCACGUUUCGACGGUAUCUAACCAGAAAGCCACGGCUAACUACGUGCCAGCAGCCGCGGUAAUACGUAGGUGGCAAGCGUUAUCCGUAUUUAUUGGGCGUAAGGGGAACGCAGGCGGUCUGUUAAGUCUGAUGUUAAAGCCUUCGGCUUAACCGGAGUAGUGCAUUGGAAACGGGGAGACUUGAGGGCAGAAGAGGGGAGUGGAACACCAUGUGUAGCGGUGAAAUGGGUAGAUAUAUGGAAGAACACCAGGGGCGAAAGCGGCUCUCUGGUCUGUAACUGACGCUGAGGUUCGAAAGCGUGGGUAGCAAACAGGAUUAGUACCCCAGUAGUC